GAAACAGAGAGAAGGAAAUAUUAAAAAUCAAGACCAAUCCACAGGUUUCCUUUGGUGAGGUUGAAAUUCUUACAGUCAGAAGACAUCAAAAUCAAGUUUCACUUCAUCGCUUGUUUCCUCCUGCAUCAGAAACAAGAGGUGCUGCCAUUUGUAAAGUCUACUGAGAUUGGCCAAGCCACUUCUGAUGCACAACCUAUAGAGAUAGAUAUAUCUCAGCCAACUGCUUCUGAUGUAGAAGAUUCUCAAAAGGAUCAUGGAAUAAAAAGGCCUUCAAAAUUAUCACCAAGGAGAAGAUCCUCUCCACUAGCAACUUCUGUCCCAGUAAAUCCCAUGCAGGGUGCUAGUUCAGGAACUGCAACAAAACUUGUCAAUUACAUGAAGUUCAUCCCAACUCCAGGAUUUAAGGCUCC